AACGAACGCUGGCGGCAGGCUUAACACAUGCGAGUCGAACGCCCCGCAAGGGGAGUGGCCGACGGGUGAGUACCGCGUGGGAACAUACCCUUUUCUACGGAAUAGCUCUGGGAAACUGGAAUUAAUACCGUAUACGCCCUACGGGGGAAAGAUUUAUCGGGGAAGGAUUGGCCCGCGUUGGAUUAGCUAGUUGGUGGGGUAAAGGCCUACCAAGGCGACGAUCCAUAGCUGGUCUGAGAGGAUGAUCAGCCACAUUGGGACUGAGACACGGCCCAAACUCCUACGGGAGGCAGCAGUGGGGAAUAUUGGACAAUGGGCGCAAGCCUGAUCCAGCCAUGCCGCGUGAGUGAUGAAGGCCUUAGGGUUGUAAAGCUCUUUCACCGAUGAAGAUAAUGACGGUAGUCGGAGAAGAAGCCCCGGCUAACUUCGUG
rnacentral:rRNA from 1 species